rnacentral:rRNA from 1 species
UCGACCUGAGAUUAGAUAAGAUUACCCGCCGAAUUUAAGCAUAUUAAUAAGCGGAGGAAAAGAAAACAACUGUGAUUCCCUUAGUAAUGGCGAAUGAAACGGGAACAGCCCAUCGCGUAACUGCAGGUCAUCUUGGCCUUGUGGAAUGUCGCGUUUGGGAGAGUCUCAUCGGGAGCUGGACGGCCAGUCAAAGUCCAACUUGACAGUGGCCACUGCCCAUAGAGGGUGAUAGGCCUGUAAGGCGGCCGUCUGCUUCUGCCGACUUUUCCCCUGAGUCGGGUUGCUUGGGAGUGCAGCCCAAAGUGUGAGGUAAACUCCUCAUAAGGCUAAAUAUGACCUCGAGACCGAUAGCAAACAAGUACCGUGAGGGAAGAUUGAAAAGAACUUUGAAGAGAGAGUUCAAUAGUACGUGAAACUGUGUGGUGGUAAACAGAGGGGUUCUCGAAGUCUCUGAGGGGAACUCAACCUUGGUGUCUGGCAGUCUGGGCGUAUCUGAUCAGCAAUGACUGUUCGCCUUGCCUGGCCUGACUCUCGGGUGCAUUUCCCCCUCAGUUUACGGCAGGAACUGUUUGGCACGGACCUGUGGCCACGGGUGAAGUUGUCGCUUAUGGUGGCAGCCCUGUGUGACCUGGCUCCGAGCCGGACAGGUAUUUUGAGAGGACUCGUAUAGCGAGCAAUGCUC